CUGACACCAAUUCCUAACAAGGAAAAUUUGGGCUGAACAUACUGAGGGAUGAUAUCAAGUGGACAAUCAGAAACAUCAAUUAAUGCAAAGCCUCAUUUAAUGCAACGGUAUUAUUACCUACAGGACUUGUUAUUCCUGAUUGUUUUAUGAUGUUACUGUUGUACACUGCGUGUGCCUGAUUCUGCUACAUGGGAUUUGAGAUGCAGAAAGAUUCUUCCACCCUCCAUUAUUCUCUCUCAGCAGUGGGAGUGAUCAUUAACACUGGACAAAGAAACUAGAAAAUCCCAUCCAUGCUGGUGAGAGCAUUCUCUGUUCACACUGAAAAGCAUCAGGGAUACGCCUUCGGAGGACACGUGCAUAGGACCAAACAACAACCACACAGGAGAAGAAAAGCAGUCUUUGCCUUGGGAAUACAGCACUGAAAGCUGCCACAUGGCAAGUUGGCCAUGAAGAAAUCAAGACAGAUUAAUGGUGAAAAUGAAAGGAAGCAAUCUAAUCUCAUUAACAAGAAAGUGGAUGGAUCAUGCUGCUCAACAAGCC
rnacentral:lncRNA from 1 species